GACGAACGCUGGCGGCGUGCUUAACACAUGCAAGUCGAACGAAGGGCGAUGGAAGCUUGCUUCUAUCAAUCUUAGUGGCGAACGGGUGAGUAACGCGUAAUCAACCUGCCCUUCAGAGGGGGACAACAGUUGGAAACGACUGCUAAUACCGCAUACGAUCUAAUCUCGGCAUCGAGGAUAGAUGAAAGGUGGCCUCUACAUGUAAGCUAUCACUGAAGGAGGGGAUUGCGUCUGAUUAGCUAGUUGGAGGGGUAACGGCCCACCAAGGCGAUGAUCAGUAGCCGGUCUGAGAGGAUGAACGGCCACAUUGGGACUGAGACACGGCCCAGACUCCUACGGGAGGCAGCAGUGGGGAAUCUUCCGCAAUGGACGAAAGUCUGACGGAGCAACGCCGCGUGAGUGAUGACGGCCUUCGGGUUGUAAAGCUCUGUUAAUCGGGACGAAAGGCCUUCUUGCGAAUAGUGAGAAGGAUUGACGGUACCGGAAUAGAAAGCCACGGCUAACUACGUG
rnacentral:rRNA from 1 species